rnacentral:rRNA from 1 species
GGGAGCCACCCGCUGA